rnacentral:snRNA from 1 species
AGAUGAUCUGGCUGCGACAUCUGUCACCGCAUUGAUCGCCAGGGUUGAUUCGGCUGAUCUGGCUGCCUAGGCUGGUGUCCCCUUCCUCCCUCAAUGAUCUAUGUGUGUCCCUCCCGAAGCUGCGCACUCGGUCGAAGAGGACGACCACCCCCAAUAGAGGAGGACCGUUCCUCAGUCAAGGUUAUACGAGUAGAUGCUCUCCCCUGCUAGAACCUCCAAACAUUUUAUUUAAUUUUGAUCAACUUAAUGACAGGACAGUGGAUACCUCAUUGAGUAAGUGACCACAUAGAACUUCUUCAGAUUAGGGUCCAAUAAUCAGGCCAG